rnacentral:rRNA from 1 species
UACGGGGGGAGCAAGCGUUGUUCGGAUUUACUGGGCGUAAAGGGCGCGUAGGUGGCGGCCCAAGUCCAUGGUGAAAGCUCGCCGCUCAACGGCGAGUCGGCCACGGAUACUGGGUUGCUCGAGCACUGUAGGGGGCAGAUGGAAUUCCGGGUGUAGCGGUGGAAUGCGUAGAGAUCCGGAAGAACACCAGUGGCGAAGGCGGUCUGCUGGGCAGUAGCUGACACUGAUGCGCGACAGCGUGGGGAGCAAACAGG